AGCUACAGCUAGCUAGCACUGCAGUGCAUAAAAUAUGAUGAGUAGUUGACUCAAAGAGAGAGAAAGACAAUAAUUGAUUUCUUCCAAAAUGAAGGAGAAGUAGGAGAGAGAGAGAUUGCAAUAUCUUUUUUUUUUUGAGGGGGGGGGGUUCACUUUCACUUAGCUACUUAGCUAGCAAAAGGCAAAAGCAGCUAGCUAGCUAGUUUAACCUACUCAAACACCCGGCUCAAACAGAGGGAUGCUAUGUUAGCUAGCUGAUUAUGACUAUCCAACACAACACUGGAACUCUUCCAAGUCAAGAUUCAACUAGUCUGUUACGGCAGAGGCAGAGAUGACGUUGGAGGGAUAUGGGUCAAACUUAGCUGAAAUGGUUUCGUGCCCCACGUCCGGUGUCAAGUUUUCAUACAUACAGCUGAGGACUUUGUAUCUUAGGCUUUGGAGUUUAACAGGAUGGAUGGACAGGAUUCUGUCUUGGACCCUUUCCUCAACUCCUGUGAAUAACUCAACAGAAACACAAACUCUUCCACUGCGUCGGCCAUCUUAGAGAUUUCUGGAUGUAGCCUACCAUUCCCCAGUUUGUAAGGCGGAGUUUCAGAAGCUGUAAACUGGCUUACACUCAAG
rnacentral:lncRNA from 1 species